AUGAGUCCUCGGCCUCACGCCUUCGCCCUCCUCCUCCUCCUCCUGGCCGCCGUCCCAGGGCUGCGGGCGGCCGAGACGUUGGACGAGUCCGGAGGGGGCCUCGUGAAGCCCGGGGGGUCCCUGACCCUGGUCUGCAAGGCCUCCGGCUUCACCUUCAGCAGCUACAACAUGGCAUGGGUGCGACAGGCACCUGGGAAGGGGCUCGAGGAGGUCGUGCAUAUUAGCAGCAGUGGUAGUACCACAGUCUACGCGCCGGCAGUGAAGGGGCGCUUCACCAUCUCCAGGAACAACGGGCAGAGCACGGCCACCCUGCAGAUGAACAGCCUCAAGGCCGAAGACACCGCCACCUACUACUGCGCGAAAGCUUAUGCUGGUAGUGCUUGGAGUGGUUGUAGUGCUGGUGGUGUUGAUGGCUGA